GUAGCUCAGUUGGUUAGAGUGCCGGCCUGUCACGCCGGAGGUCGCGGGUUCGAGCCCCGUCACUCGCGCCA
rnacentral:tRNA from 2 species